GGUCGACUCUUCCCGAUUUUCUCGAUUUCCAGUCAUAUCUCACAAGAAUUUACAUUUCUAUUCAUAAUUACAAUAUAAUUGAUCAAAUUAUUUCAAAAUCGAUGAAAAUCUUUCAUAUCUGAAAUAUCCGAUAAAAUCGAUUUUAAUUUUAGCAUAUCCAUAUCGAAUCAAAUAUAAUCCGUGCACAUCCCUAUUCAAGAAAUGUCAAAUUAUUUCCCGUUUUUUUUUUUAUUCAGUGAAAACAAAAACAUUGAGAUAUUUUUAUUUCUAUCUUUCUUCUUUCAAUUUGCCAAAAAGUACCUGGUAUUAUACGUGAUGUAAUUUGAAAUGUUCCCAUCAGAGCACCAAUAAUAGCUACAUCGUGUGUGAAUUUACUUUUGCUACGCCUGCCAGUAAUUGUUCUUCAAAACAACUUCUGCUCGAAUUAGUGGGACGCAGAAACAUUCCGGAAUCCUACAUCAAUGAAACACGAGACGAAACGUUUUGUGCUGUGAAUUUGCCUGCAGCUGGCUGGAUCCGACGUUAAAAUCUAUCGGCGAUACCACGACGCAGAAAUCGACCAACAUGAUAAGGACAAGCAUGAUCCCUCAAAUGUAUUGGACCCGGAUAGACUGUCAUUUCUUCGGAUAUGUUGAAUCGAUAUGGGAGGAAAAGUGCUGUGAAAUCAGUAUACAAUAAUCGACUGAUUAUCACGUUUCUGUCUUUCAAUCAAACACCUCAACUGGAGGAAUGUCGUGAUGGCUUAUGUGGCCGCAUGCAGGUGAUCAAUCCGAUUAAUAUUAGGCGCCGUCCACAAAUUACGUAAUGCUGAAGAAGGAGGGCUGAAAUAUGAUCGAGAGUUACGAGCGUUCAUACAAAAGAUUUAGGAUAAUACAAAUGCCGAUAUGUAAAAAAUGGAUGCUGUCUCACGAGAUAACUUUCCUGAAAUUGGUAUUCAAUAGGGGUACCAUUGAGCACUUCAGUCAGAGGCGAUUCUUAACUAGACUUGACACCGUACCAAAUAGCGAGCUGCAAAUUGCGUGCAGUGAAAAGUGACAGGGUCUAUUCCGGAUGGCGCUCGAUAAGAAAAAAUGUUAUACAAAUAUAGGUAAAUUAUAAAAUAAAACAACCCUCAUCCUUCCUUA